GUCGUAAAAGGGGACGCGGAGGAGAAGGAAAGUCGCUCAAGCAGUGGACAGAGCGGAGAAAGCGACUUCGGGUCUGCUGGAGUUUGCUGGAGGUGCACUCCAGACUCUGUUUGCCUGCCUAUCACCAACAGAGGCUGCAGAACAGCAAAGAUUGCUGUCUGUAACUUCCUCUGGAAGCUUCAUCCCAGAGGGGCACCUGCCAGAUGCCAGCCGGAGCUCUCCUCUAUGAGUGAAUGAAGGAGGGAAGAAAGGAGAGACAGAGAAAAUAUGGAUUUCCUCAUGGUUGUGAUUCCUCUUCACUCUUUUGAAUUUGGAAGGAUGGCAUACACAUCUGAAAAAUACCACUACUUCCUUCAUUGGACUGCAAGGUAUUUCUGUUUGGAAAAGUAAUGGAGUCCAGUCAACUUCAUUGAUCGCCAAGGACUGUCAAAAUUAUAAAACUUGCUGUGGAGCUCUGACAUGCCAGAAGCCGCUAGAAAAAGAAGUUUGACAUUCAGAAACUUAUCAAGAGGUUCUACUCUUUGGAUAGAGACCAAAAUCAUACUUUGAAGGGAUUGCAGUGGCAAAGCUAGGCUAGGUCUUGGAGGCUGGUGUAAGGCGAUGUGGGUGAAGGCAGGAGGCUGAUGGAAAGACUGGGGGGAAGAAAAGCCGAAAUGGAUUCACGGUGCCUUGGAUGAAGGACGAGAGGGGAACUGCAAGCUCCUUCAACUGGUUCUGUCCGGUGAGAAGUGAUCAAGCUUGGGCUGACAAGAGGCUCAGGGAGCCCUCACGUUCUUUCGCUUUUUUACCUGCCAAUCAAACUGCUACAAGACAACACCCUGAUCUGGCAUGGACAUUUAUUCUUCUUAGGAUGGCUGCCAGGGAAUAGAUGAAAGGCAGAAGUGGCGAUGGGUGACUGAUGUGGCACACUUAUGAAGAAAAGCCUCUUUUUCCAUGCUUGUUUUUCCUCCCCAAGGAGCCAACAGAGUUUCUAUUCUCCAACUCUGCUCUUCACCUUACCCAAGUCAUUGCAGUCACCUGGAGUCACGGAAAUGACCAUGAUUGCCUGAACUUUCAUGACUUCUGUGGAUAACUGUGGUUGCAGAAAAGAGAAAACCUGGACCGUGAGGGACAUUUCACUCCCUGGGCUUUGGUACAUGGUACAUGUGUGGUUGGAUGUGUGUUGCCAGAAAACAGCCUGCCAUGUCUGAGGCUAUGCUCCCAGACUAGCAGCCUGGGUUACAGGGGAAGAGCUGAAGUUGGGUUGGGGAAGUUUAAUAUACUAUACUUUUAAAAUUUUUUUACUUUUGGCUAAUAUUUAUCUAUUUAUUUAUUUUUAUUUUUUGUAGAGACAGGGUUUUGCCAUGUUGCCCUGGCUGGUCUCAAACUACUGAGCUUGAGAAUCUGCUUGUCUUGGCCUCCCAAAGAGCUAGGAUUACAGGCAUGAGCCAUCGAGCCUGGCUCCUUUUAUUCUUUUCAUGACACUACCUCUUCCUAGGAGAGG
rnacentral:lncRNA from 1 species